rnacentral:rRNA from 1 species
AUGCCGCUGCGUCGUCGGGGAAAUUCGGGCUACCACGGCGUCCGCGCACGCCCCUCCGGCUCAUUCUCCGCUGAGAUCCGGUCUGAUGAGAUGCGCCUCGGCCUCGGCACAUUCGACACCGCUCACGAUGCCGCCCGCUUGUACGACGCGACGGCGUGGCUCCUCCGGCGGUCUCGUAGGGAGAUGAACUUCCCCAACAUGGCGACGCGGGAGCUGGCGCACGAGCUCGCACUUCCCCCGCGGCUUGUCACCGACAAGGACCGUCGUGACAACCGGAGGCGGGAGCGCCGGCUCGACAUCACCGAGAUGGACGAGGAGGCCAUGUCGCUGUGGCGCCAACACUUUUCGGAGGACGUCAUCAACGAGCGUGAAUUCUAUGUGCAAAGGAGGCCAGAGCGAACCGCCUAUCGCGAGGACAGGCGUACGCGGAAGGCGGACGCGCUCUUCAACAUCGAGCUCAAAGAAGCGUCGACCUGGGAUUCCAACGAUGAACGACGGAUUGACACCUUCAUUACGACAUCGGAGGAAAAGGAGGAGGACAUCACCGAGUCGAAGUCGAAAGAGGAGGACGACGACGAGUAG